CAAGAACAGCCUGGUUUACACACCAAGAUCCAGGACAGCCAGAGUUAAUACAGUACUCAACACAGAUGUGUCUCCUCUGGGCACCAACGCGUGUGGUCCUUGCCAGUAAGUAGCCAGCCCGUGGGCAUCGAUAAGUCCUGGCCAGUAUGUAGCCAGCCCUUGCUUCACGCCCCUCCUUGCCCCCUUACCCUUUAUUCCGUCCCCAGUUCACACAGGAUAAGGGCUCAGUCUAAUAAGUUUGUUCCCACUUCAGACACCAGUAGCAAACUCCAGGUUGUGGACCAGGCUUCUGAUAGACCGGCUACAAACUGGGUGUUCCCACUGGUUGACUAGGAUCAGUGAUAUGUUAUCAUUAAGAACUCAGGCUGACACUUGUGCUUCCUCCUGUAUCAGCAGGGACAUUAUCGGUGCCAGGGAUGUGGCUCCGUUGGCAGAAUGCGUGUUUAGCGCACACAAAAGCUUUUGUCUCAUCCGCAGCUCUGCAGAACACCAGGCAUAGAGGUACAGUAACCUCAGUAACCCCUGACGUAGAGGCAGGGGGAUAUGAAGUUUGAGUUUUUUUUAUGGCUA
rnacentral:sRNA from 1 species